rnacentral:lncRNA from 1 species
CGAAGAUUGGAAAUGCAUUUUCGACGCGUUUUUCGGCGAAAUCCGCCGACGGAACGCGGGUUCGGUUCGGAAUUAUUCCGACGGUGCUUCGUGAGCUAUUGUGUAGUUGCUGAGUCUGGUUGGCUGGUCACUCGCAUCAUUUCGAGAGUUUAGACAUAACGGGUGAGCGACGGUGCGUUCCGAAGUCGAAAUUGACACUUUCGGGAACCCGGAUCGAAACGAUUAUCCGACGAUAAUUGUUUCGACGUGAGGAGCUGUGGUUGCCGCCAUGAUGCACGAUUAUUGAUGUUUAGUGGCAGCGGAUGACUCGUAGCACGAGUCGGUACGUUCCGGGACAGUCGUGGGUCCCGACGGAGUCUCGGUGCGAUUUCGGGACUUCCGACGAGUUACGGUAAUCGGUUUUGGGAAACCGAUAUCCGUGGGUUUUAGUUUGUGGGGUUGUAGAUUCAGUGUUUAUUGUUUGUAGGUUGGACACUAACCCAGUGGACCCUCCUUAGGUCCGGUUGACGUUCUUUUGCAGUCAGGAGACAGGUGCGACACAUGUACAGGUGGGUACUUCGAUCCGAUGUCGGUACAGUGGUGCACGCUCGGUGAUGGUUUCUUACCUUUGUUCUCUUGUUAUUAUCUGGCAUAUAUAUAUUUUGAUAUAUAGUGUUGAGCCUAGCACCCACGUUGUUUGGUUAUAGUCUACUCAGAUGUUUCCAUGCUUAGUAUCAUGUGUAGGAGUAUAGUCUAUCUGUAUGUGAUACCAUGUUUUCUUGUUGCUCUACUUAGCUAUCCUGCAUAUCCUGUUUCAUGUUUAGAGUAGAGCGGUUUCGUGAUUUCCUGUGAGAUCGGUGACCUAGUCGGUCGGUUCCUUGACUUCUGUCGUUUGAUGACCUUUGAGGUCGGUGUACCCUGAGGGGUCGGAUUGUCGGCUAGUGGCCGACGGUAGUUCUAGAUUAUAUACUCAGAUGACUUGUUGAUCGAUUCUUGCAUAUAUACAGUAGUUGACUUAUUGAUCAGUAUCUACAUACUUUUGGUAGGAUGUUGAGUUGUUCCAUCCCAGUUGACUUGAUUAGUCAGUGCUUACAUACAGUUGAGAGGAUGUCGAUGUUGUCCCAUCCUAGUUGACCUGAGUGGUUGGUUCUUGUGCUUCCUUACAGUUGAUGGCCUAUACGGUCAGUGUGCCCUGAGGGGUUGGAUUGUCAGUUAGUUGCCGAUGGAAGAUCUUUGAGCAUACUAUAUUGAUCGCCACUGCAGGUACGCAUUUCACGAACACCAACGGUCUGAUCCACCGCAAGAGGGUGUUCUUUUCCGGAAAAGUGGUUGGAUUGCCAACCCGUGAGCCCAGGGGCUUUAUUGCGAGGGUAUAUGCUUCUGACCCAGGGGCUUCAUUGCAAGGGUCAGGUACAGGGUGAGUAGUAGUGGCACAGGCUUGAGGUUCAGGUGCGAACCAACAGAGCAGCAGAUUUCAGAUUGGGUAUUUUUGGUCUUUACAUCCAGUUGACGCAUAUGCCUAUAGUUGCAGUUGUUGCAUGCAUACUUACAGUUCUUGCUUUAUAAUUGUCUUGCUACUAUAGUAGAUAUUCAUGUAUGCUUUCUGUUCCAGUUAUAAUAGCGGUAGCCGUUAUUCAGUCUAGUUCCUACUUUCUUUCAGUUUAUUGCUACUGUAUUUAGUAUAUCUGCUCAUUACCUUAUACAUCUCUUUCGUUUACUAUUGUUCCUACUAUAUUUCCACUGACCCGUGUUGUUGUAUAGCUUUUCCUGAUUCGGUGAGUACUCCUCGCCUUCUUCGGCUUACGGUACCCACUGGGAGGGGAGACAUGUUUACAUGUUCUCACCUCCCCCACUAUUUUUCAGGUAUCGCGGGCGGUGAGGGUUGAGACGAGACGUGAGACAGGUACGUAGCGGUCGAUAGAUCUUCCGACCCAGGUUGUUCGGUUUAGCUCUUACCCUUUUUAUUUCUGUUGAUAUAUAGCUUAGAUAGUUUAUAUGGUUCAGUAUUUUUAUUACAUUUGAAUAUGUGGAUUUUCAUGAAUGUAAUAAAAGGAUUUCUGGAUUUUGUAAAAUAAAGGUUUUCUACCCCUCGUGGUAGCGUUUUUAAAGAAUAAAGGUUUCCGUGUAGGAAACAAUUUUCAAAAGAAUUUUUCGUGGAUUUCUGUUUAAAUAUUGAAUGUAAAACUGUGAUGUGAAUGAUGAAUGUAUGAAUGUGUAGUGAUCUUUAUAUUCAUCUAGUUGUGGUUGUAUCCUGGUUGUAUUCUUGUACUUGUGCGACGCCGUGCAAAUACAGGGGAGACUCUGUCCGUGUGAACAGUGGAUCUCCUGUAUUUGUGGCGGAUCUGGCAUACUCUGGGGUUAGGUUUUUUUUAAAAAAAAAAAGAAAAAAAAAGAAAAAAAAUUUUCAGACGCCUUUCCGCUAUGCUUUAAACUAAAAAGGGACCCAGGGCGUGACAGAUUAAAGUGGUAUCAGAGCCAAGUUACAACCACGACACCAUUCACAGGUUGUUUUGAAAAGUAAAUGAACUGAACCAAAUAAACUAAACCAUUGGUUAGGUCGACCAAUAGGAAGACUACGAUGUAUAGGCAUGUGAGUGCGAGGUUUGGACUUGUGUCCUGGGUUGCAUUCGAGUUGGGUAAACUCGAAGUGCAUGGUGUUUCUGUAUGCGUUACGGUUCGCACAAGCUGGUGUCUAAGUCGGGAGUAGUGGCGAUGUACUUAUACGAGUGGUGGGGCGACGUUCCCCAGGUGUUGCCAAUCCUGUCUGGUGGGGCCUUGAAGGGCGAGUGAUUUUCGGGCCUAGGCGAGUGUCAUAACUGCCGACGCGCAGGCCAUUCUCUCUACUUAGGACACGAGAGCUGUUGCGAGUGUCUCUACGGAGACGGCACUGUGAUCAGUUACGAUCGUGACUUCAGUGGGGCUAUUAGGGUGUAGCCCAUGGCUAUGGUAGCAGUCGUUUAGGCAACUGCAUUGUUAGUGUUGCUUCUGUAGAUCUUUGGGUAGGGUUGUAAUGCCUAUCGAUCCUCCUUGAUUGCUGAUUGGAAUCAGCGGAUCGGGUCUUUUGACCUUUACCUCGUUCAUUCUUCCUACCAGAGUCGUAUUGACACAGUUUUGGUGUCAGGUCCCUGUUGAUGCAUACAUCGUAUGCGAUUAUUCUAACACCUAAAUUGGUGUGUUGUGGGUUAGUUUGUGGUUGGUGAUAGGUUUUGUCUUGAUUUGAGAGACUCCAGGUUAUUGUCGGAAUUCUUGGAGCUUUGACUAUAGCUCGGUUGAGGUGCGAAAAUCGGUUAGAGAAACUGUUUCCUGAAGCCUCAAUUGGUACUGUUCGCAGCUUGUGUCGCUAGCAGCUAUCAGAUGUUGAAAGUUAUAGGACUCCCUGUGGGUUGGUUCAGGGUCGUUCUGAUUUCGAAUGUCGACUUGUAAAGUUGAUGUUUUGAUAGUAAUGGUUGUGAACUCUUGGUUCAGUGAAGAGGUAUUAGGUGGCUUGAUACUUCGAUGUGUCGCGCUUCCAACUUGUUGUUGGUAGUAGAUCUUCGGAUAUUUCGCUUUCUUUUGAUAAGUACAUUGGCUACAGACAAUGUACUGUCGAAAGAUAGGAUGAAAUACCCUUUUUCCCUGUUUGGGACUUUUGGAUUGGGUGCUUGUACCUGUUACAACUAAAAGGUUUGUUUGGUUAUUUAGUAGUCUCGGUCGGUUGUCGAGAGGUUCGGAAUCACAAUUGUGGAGUGACUUGAACCUGGUUGUUGGCUUUAAUUGUCACCGUAGGUGAUAGCGUAUAAGGUUUGCGACUCGGCUUGUCGUGCAAAAUCUUGGAAUUGUAUGCUUGUCCGGAUAAUUGGUGACAGGUGCGCCAGGGUCUCUAUGAGAGAGGCAUUUGGUGUUGGUCGGAACAUCGAUCGCUAGGGUCUAUGGUAGGACGGCAGCAACAGGGUCUUGUGGAGACAGGUGUUGAGCAUCACCGAUGGUUAGUAUUGCAUUUACGAUUGGUGACCUGUGCAUCAAGUGAUGGACUUGCAAGAGCUUUUGGUAGUCUGUUGGUACCGGAUUAAGUUUGAGAAGAUAGUGUCUAGCUCGAUUGGUAUUGUCAGUUGGAUCUUUUGGUCAGGUGGAAAGUGAGGUCUUGGACCUAGGACUAUAGAUUGUCGCAGGUGACUUUCCGUUGAUGAGGUUUUGACAGUUUGUGUGGUUACUGGUGGAGAUUGUGGUCUCCGAUGUGAGUGAUUUUGACUCGGAUUUUAAAACAACGUUUCGGAUUCGCUCGUGGUGAGCAGAUUGAUGUUGUUGGAUAGUUGGAGUUUUUUUUGUUUCAGUCUACGUAAAUAGACUCUAGAUUAAGUGGUUGUCUCGUGACUUUUCUACGUGAACUCGCGACGUAGUCGAGUUGGUUACGGCUAUGCGGACCAAGGUAGAGUGGACCUAAAUUUCUGAAUGUUGAUUAAUUAUCUCAGGAUUGGCAAUUUGGGAUCGGAUAAUCCUUGUCGCGGGACUAUUUUUGUCCGCAGGUUAUAGGAUGGUGUUAAUCCCGGUGAGUUUUGGUCAUAGAUUUUGGGUUGGUACGUUUUUCCCUCGUUUUUGUCCGAGUGGAACCAUAGUCCUAUUCUUCCCUUAUUCGGAGAUUGAUCUGUCCAAAUUCAUGGAAAUGUAAUAGACCAAUACUCAAAGGUGAUACCACAGUGGUGGAAGUUAUAUCCAAAUCCGAUUUCGGUGGGUAUGUGGUCAAGUUUUGGGGACGAAACUUCUUUUAAGGGGGGAUAAUGUAAGGACUGAGAUUUUUACAGUGCAAAUAAACUCUCUGUUGAUAAUGUUUAUGUGUGUAAUUUAAUUACAUAAGCACUUGUCAAGUUUCAGGAGAAAAUGAGCUAGAACGGAGAAGUUACGCGAUUAAAACUAAUCACUUAAAGUGAAUAGUAACUCCGGUUUUCCGGAUAAGCCACGGAGUAGAGUUGGCUUUCGGCGCGUAUCGGACUUCAUUCAUAGCGAUCCAAUAGCUCGUUUCGAUCGGUUCAGCUAUUCUAGAACCAAUGGCACUGACGGAUUUCAGAUCUGAUGCACGGUUUUCGAGAAAAAGGAGUUUUACAAAAAAGAGGGUUUCCGCUUUUUGCUUUUCUGUGCAUUCUAAAGCUUCUCGUACUCCGUGCUUGUGACUUGGAGUAGGGUGAAGAAUGUUUCGAGUCCCUACUAGUGGUAGGGAAGUCAAUUUCUAAUGCGAAAGUUGGUUUAAUGGGUUUACACAUUGGUAUAUGUGCGAUAUAUGGAUUAAUUAGAGAGCAGUUGGGUUCCGUCGCGAAUCCGUGACUAAAUCUGACGAAAUAAGAUUGUAGUUUUGAUGCCCCCGACGUGCUGAACGCAAUGGUGCUGUCGGAUCGAAAAUCUGACGGACGGAUCUCUGAUAAUUGCGAAGUUUGCGUUAAGAGGUCGAAGGUGGCAAUUCGGAAAAUUCGCGAAAGGCGCGACAUUUUAUGUACCGAAUCGCGUGAGAUCGGCCGUGGAGGUAUGUACGCGCAAAUUGUACGCCCUGGCAGGGGCUGAGGUUUAAAUAUUCUGGGUUGGAGGGGUUUUCUACAAUUAGUCCACAUGUAUAUAAUUAGCAUCUAGGGUUUCUUUACACGAAACCCUAGAUCUAGCCGACCUUCUCUCCCAACUGUGCCCUAACCAGCUUCAGCAGGUCCCUGCCCAAACCUUGCGCGAACCCCGGCCGCCCGCAGGUGCCCCGGCCGCCGGAAAACUUGAAACCCGGCCACCCCUCCAACCUUCUUUCCCAACCAUCCCUGCCGUGGAACCAAUCUGGGUGACCAUAACCCUCGGGCACCACCUCUGGCAGCGGCCCCGACCUCCGCCGUCCCGCCGUGCCGGCCGCCGCCGUCCCCACGCGCCGCCGUCGCGGCCUGGGCGCCCUGCAGCCGAGCCUGACCUAGCUCAGGCCGAGCCUGGCCCCGCACCGCCUCCACGAGCCGCCGUCGCCUUUGGACGACUAUGCCGCCUUCCCCGGCGUCGUCACCGCCGGCCCCCGCCGGUCCCGUGCUCCGCCGGCGCCGUUUUGGCCCCUGCGGCCACUUGCGGCCAAGUCGGGCCGAGCUUGGGUGAUCCCUGCCUCCCCGCGCCGCCACCGUUCCCCGCCAGCCGCGCGUCCUCCCACGGCCUCCGGCGACCUCCCGCUCGCCGCCGCUCGCCAUCCCGGCCAUCCCCGUGGACCGCCGGCCGCCGCUCCUCCAUCCUGCGGCCGCCCUGACCCGUGCGGGCCGUGGCCGAGUCCCCUCAUCUUCCAAGCGCCGCAGCCGCCCACUGACGGGAGCACCACCUCCCCCUUGGCCUCCGCCGACAGACCGUCGCCAUCCCGAGCUCCUCCGGCCGCCGCCUUGCCGCCGGUGCCCUUGAACCCGAGAGGAGCUAGGCGGGUUGGAUCUCCACCGCCGCGCCACCGGCUGCCGUCCACCGCCGGCCAGCACCUUCCCCGGACCCCUUCGACCUGCCGCCCCGUUCCCCGGCCGGAGCGCACGCCGUCCGACAGCCGCCGGCCGUACCCUAGCUCCACCCUGUCCAGUAAGCUAUUUUCAGCCUGUUUGCGCACUAGUUUCCUAUUUGGAUGACUGUUCCCGGGACCCGGGGCUGUUCCGAUGGCUCCGGAGGUGAGCACGGUGAUUGUCAGUCAGUUCUGAUCACAAUGCUCCCCUCACUUAGUGUCAGCGAGCUCCGGAUGAGUUAAUUAGAUGCGUUUUAGUUUCAGUACGCGCUGUUUCGUUGAACUUUGUGUCGCUCGUGCGCGUCCCAUAGUGGCUGAAAUUGCUCUAAAAGGUGAGCACGGCCUCCGGUACGCUGAGACCUGUCAGCGGGUGUCUCAGUUUGGCUGAUUGACUUCUAGUUUGUGUAGACGGACCAUAAAAGCGCCGAAAUCACAAAAAAUAAUGUGAUUUCGGGUAAUCGAGUGGGCUUUUAUGCAUUUUGGUUCGUCGUGGCUACUGUUGGCAGCAUAGGUGAGCAGUGGGUGACAUCUGGACCGAUUGUCCAAGGCCCCAGACCUUUGCGAAGAUUGGAAAUGCAUUUCCAGCGCGUUUUUCGGCGAAAUCUGCCGACGGAACGCAGGUUCGGUUCGGAAUUAUUCCGACGGUGCUUCGUGAGCUAUUGUGUAGUCGCUGAGCCUGGUUGGCUGGUCACUCGCAUCAUUUCGAGAGUUCAGACAUGACGGGUGAGCGACGGUGGGUUCCGGAGUCGAAAUUGACACUUUCGGGAACCCGGAUCGAAACGAUUAUCCGACGAUAAUUAUUUCGACGUGAGGAGCUGUGGUUGCUGCCAUGAUGCACGAUUAUUGAUGUUUAGUGGCAGCGGAUGACUCGUAGCACGAGUCGGUACGUUCUGGGACAGUCGUGGGUCCCGACGGAGUCUCGGUGCGAUUUCAGGACUUCCGGCGAGUUACGGUAAUCGGUUUUGGGAAACCGAUAUCCGUGGGUUUUAGUUUGUGGGGUUGUAGAUUCAGUGUUUAUUGUUUGUAGGUUGGACACUAACCCAGUGGACCCUCCUUAGGUUCGGUUGACGUUCUUUUGCAGUCAGAAGACAGGUGCGACACACGUACAGGUGGGUACUUCGAUCCGACGUCG